UCUAUAUUUCUUCCUAAAAUAAGUUUGUGGUCUCCUAAAAUCCUAGGAUUGGAGACUGAUCUGCGCCAACAUGUCAAUUAUCUAAAAUAUUGGCCACAUAUACACAGCAACUAAAAAAGUAAUUCAACCUUUUCUACAUCACCUUUUUGUACAAUGCCCAAAAUACAUCAAAGAGGCCAAAAUGAAUGAUGGAUGUUAUUGAAUACAGACAGUAAAAGAUGAGUCAAAAAAAUCCUAUUAGACAUGGAAGAACUAGUUGCUGGUCUUACUAAUUCUCAAUUCUGAAGAAAUAACUUGAAUACUUGAUGCAUUAUUAUUGUAAUAAUCUAGCUGUAGAUUCACUUAUAGAAUUGAGACUAAAGCAGAAAAACAUUUAAAUAAAAAGUCUUCUUGAAAAAGCAUUAGAGGAAGAAAUAAGUAAAAUAAAUAAAUAAAUAAAGCAGCAAACAAAAUAGCAACAUGACAUAGCCCAGAGUUAAAUAAGAGAAUUGACAUUAAUACUAAGACAUCCAUGAACCGCAAUUGAUAUGCUACAAGAAAA
rnacentral:misc_RNA from 1 species